rnacentral:rRNA from 1 species
UGGCUCAGAUUGAACGCUGGCGGCAGGCCUAACACAUGCAAGUCGAACGGUACCAGGAAGCAGCUUGCUGCUUCGCUGACGAGUGGCGGACGGGUGAGUAAUGUCUGGGAAACUGCCUGAUGGAGGGGGAUAACUACUGGAAACGGUGGCUAAUACCGCAUAACGUCGCAAGACCAAAGAGGGGGACCUUCGGGCCUCUUGCCAUCAGAUGUGCCCAGAUGGGAUUAGCUUGUUGGUGAGGUAACGGCUCACCAAGGCGACGAUCCCUAGCUGGUCUGAGAGGAUGACCAGCCACACUGGAACUGAGACACGGUCCAGACUCCUACGGGAGGCAGCAGUGGGGAAUAUUGCACAAUGGGCGCAAGCCUGAUGCAGCCAUGCCGCGUGUAUGAAGAAGGCCUUCGGGUUGUAAAGUACUUUCAGCGGGGAGGAAGGUGUUGUGGUUAAUAACCGCAGCAAUUGACGUUACCCGCAGAAGAAGCACCGGCUAACUCCGUGCCAGCAGCCGCGGUAAUACGGAGGGUGCAAGCGUUAAUCGGAAUUACUGGGCGUAAAGCGCACGCAGGCGGUCUGUCAAGUCGGAUGUGAAAUCCCCGGGCUCAACCUGGGAACUGCAUUCGAAACUGGCAGGCUUGAGUCUUGUAGAGGGGGGUAGAAUUCCAGGUGUAGCGGUGAAAUGCGUAGAGAUCUGGAGGAAUACCGGUGGCGAAGGCGGCCCCCUGGACAAAGACUGACGCUCAGGUGCGAAAGCGUGGGGAGCAAACAGGAUUAAUACCCUGGUAGUCCACGCCGUAAACGAUGUCUACUUGGAGGUUGUGCCCUUGAGGCGUGGCUUCCGGAGCUAACGCGUUAAGUAGACCGCUGGGGAGUACGGCGCAAGGUCAAAAUUCAAAUGAAUUGACGGGGGCCCGCACAAGCGGUGGAGCAUGUGGUUUAAUUCGAUGCAACGCGAAGAACCUUACCUGGUCUUGACAUCCACAGAAGAAUCCAGAGAUGGAUUUGUGCCUUCGGGAACUGUGAGACAGGUGCUGCAUGGCUGUCGUCAGCUCGUGUUGUGAAAUGUUGGGUUAAGUCCCGCAACGAGCGCAACCCUUAUCCUUUGUUGCCAGCGAUUAGGUCGGGAACUCAAAGGAGACUGCCAGUGAUAAACUGGAGGAAGGUGGGGAUGACGUCAAGUCAUCAUGGCCCUUACGACCAGGGCUACACACGUGCUACAAUGGCGCAUACAAAGAGAAGCGACCUCGCGAGAGCAAGCGGACCUCAUAAAGUGCGUCGUAGUCCGGAUUGGAGUCUGCAACUCGACUCCAUGAAGUCGGAAUCGCUAGUAAUCGUGGAUCAGAAUGCCACGGUGAAUACGUUCCCGGGCCUUGUACACACCGCCCGUCACACCAUGGGAGUGGGUUGCAAAAGAAGUAGGUAGCUUAACCUUCGGGAGGGCGCUUACCACUUUGUGAUUCAUGACUGGGGUGAAGUCGUAACAAGGUA